GUCUACGGCCAUGCCACUCUGAACAAGCCCAAUCCCUUCUGAUCUCGGAAGGUAAGCAGGGUCAGGCCUGGUUAGUGCUUAGAUGGGAGAUCGCCUAGGAAGACCAGGCGCUGUAGGCA
rnacentral:rRNA from 1 species